UUCUGAUUUUCAUGUGGGC
rnacentral:miRNA from 1 species